GACGAACGCUGGCGGCGUGCUUAACACAUGCAAGUCGAACGGUGAAGCGCCUUCCUUUUUGGUGGGUGUGGAUGAGUGGCGAACGGGUGAGUAACACGUGAGUAACCUGCCCCCUUCUUCUGGAUAACCGCAUGAAAGUGUGGCUAAUACGGGAUAUUCUGGGUCUGUCGCAUGAUGGGUCUGGGAAAGAUAUUGUUUCGGUUGGGGAUGGGCUCGCGGCCUAUCAGCUUGUUGGUGGGGUGGUGGCCUACCAAGGCUGUGACGGGUAGCCGGCCUGAGAGGGUGGACGGUCACACUGGGACUGAGCCGCGGCCCAGACUCCUACGGGAGGCAGCAGUGGGGAAUAUUGCACAAUGGGAGCAAGCCUGAUGCAGCGACGCCGCGUGAGGGAUGGAGGCCUUCGGGUUGUGAACCUCUUUCGCCAGUGAAGCAGGCCUGCCUCGUUUGUGGGUGGGUUGACGGUAGCUGGAUAAGAAGCGCCGGCUAACUACGUG
rnacentral:rRNA from 1 species